UUAAAUUGAAGAGUUUGAUCAUGGCUCAGAUUGAACGCUGGCGGCAGGCCUAACACAUGCAAGUCGAGCGGAAACGAGUUAUCUGAACCUUCGGGGAACGAUAACG
rnacentral:rRNA from 1 species